UACGGGGGGGGCAAGCGUUGUUCGGAAUUACUGGGCGUAAAGGGCUCGUAGGCGGCCAACUAAGUCGGAUGUGAAAUCCCCAGGCUUAACCUGGGAACUGCAUCCGAUACUGGAUGGCUUGAAUCCGGGAGAGGGAUGCAGAAUUCCAGGUGUAGCGGUGAAAUGCGUAGAUAUCUGGAGGAAUACCGGUGGCGAAGGCGGCAUCCUGGACCGGCAUUGACGCUGAGGAGCGAAAGCUAGGGGAGCAAACGGGG
rnacentral:rRNA from 1 species